rnacentral:rRNA from 1 species
UUGUCGUCAGCUCGUGUCGUGAGAUGUUGGGUUAAGUCCCGCAACGAGCGCAACCCUCGUCCUAUGUUGCCAGCGGGUCAUGCCGGGGACUCAUGGGAGACUGCCGGGGUCAACUCGGAGGAAGGUGGGAUGACGUCAAAUCAUCAUGCCCCUUAUGUCUUGGGCUUCACGCAUGCUACAAUGGCCGGUACAAAGGGCUGCGAUACCGCGAGGUGGAGCGAAUCCCAGAAAGCCGGUCUCAGUUCGGAUUGGGGUCUGCAACUCGACCCCAUGAAGUCGGAGUCGCUAGUAAUCGCAGAUCAGCAACGCUGCGGUCGAAUACGUUCCCGGGCCUU